AUCGAACGCUGGCGGCAGGCCUAACACAUGCAAGUCAGGCGAGCGGCGGACGGGCGAGUAAGGUAUGAGGAUCUGACUGACGGAGGGGGAUAACUAGUGUAAACGGUAGCUAAUACUGCAUACCAUAAGAUGAACCCAGAUGGGAUUAGCUAGUAGGUGAGGUAACGGCUGACCUAGGCGACGAUCCCUAGCUGGUCUGAGAGGAUGAUCAGCCACACUGGGACUGAGACACGGCCCAGACUCCUACGGGAGGCAGCAGUGGGGAAUAUUUGGCAAUGGGCGCAAGCCUGAUGCAGCCACGCCGCGUGUAGGAAGAAGGCUUUCGGGUUGUAAAGUACGUUCAGUCGGGAGGCGUUACCGAAAGAAGAAGCAACGGCUAACUCCGUGCCAGCAGCCGCGGUAAUAC
rnacentral:rRNA from 1 species